AUCUUCAAAACAACCUUAUGAGGUAGGUAACCAUUUUAAACGCCACUUUACUGAUGAGAAAGCUGAGGCUUUGAAAACGUUGUUGCAAGUUGCAUAGCUAGAAGAGAGGCUAGACAGUGAUCUGUAAUUGCUUCCCUGACUCCAGGGCCAAUCUGUUAAAUAAGGCUGUGGAAAUUCUUUGAAUGUUGGUGUGUUCCACAAAUAUUCCUUGAGCAGUUACUGUGGCAUUGCAUUAAGAGCUUCAAAGAGCACUACCUUCAGUUCUUAUCUUCCAGGAGUCAAUGAAGAGAUGGACAGGUUAUAAGUAUAAUGAUGCUUUAUGGGUGCUGUGAGAAUAGUCUGAUAAUGAUAAUCACCAGAUGGAUUAGCCCAGAGACAGCUGUGAAAGUAGAUUCUCCAAGGAAAAGAGAAAGUACUCCGAGGAAUAUGCAGAGAGCCUCCAGCGCUUUCUCAGAAGCCACAGAGAGGGAGAACCUUCAUAUCACAAGACAGACUGAAAUAAGGAUUGUGAGAACUGUUGGGAAAUUUUUCCAAAUAAUUUCUACUUGGGCAGUGGUUUUCUUGAAGCUGUCUCAUGUAGCUGAGGCUGGCCUUGAACUUGCAAUGUAGUGGAGGCUUGUCUUGAACCUCGUAUCCUACUGCCUUUAUUUCCCAAGUUCUGGGAUAACUGGAGUAUAUGCCAGAACAGUGAUUUUGCAGUUGUAAGCCAAGCCCAUGGAGACUAAAGAGGAUAGUGUUUCUGGUGACUGCCCUAAGUGACUCCCCAGAAUUUGCCAGAACAGUUUAAUAGAUGAACAUCUCUGCUGAUAGUCCCAACGUAUUUGUCUAUUUGAAGUGAUCUGAUUCUGUCCUAGAUAGAUCAAAGUGUAUUUAUUUAUUUGGCUCUUGACAUCUGGGCAUGAAUGAGUGUAUGGCCAUGAAUGAGAUGUAAUCAAAAGAGAAUCUGGCAAGGAUGGCUGCACAAGGCCUAUGAAGGAGUCUGUUUAUUCUCUGAAGCAGCCAUUGAGGCUGCUGGGGGUGGGGGUGUGUGCAUAUGUGCCUGGUCACGUGUUAGAAAUCCUAGAGAAAUUCCAGGCUUAAAGAAGCAAAAUGGAAGCUGGGCAGUGGUGGCACAUGCCUUUGAUCCCAGUACUCAGGGGCAAGUGAGUUUGAAGCUAGCCUUGUCUAUAGAGCAGGUAGUUCCAGAACAGCUGGGGCUACACAGAGAAACCCUGUCUUGAAGAGAAGCAAAUGCUCUUUCUCCAUUAUUCGCCAAGUACAAAAGAAAAAGAAAAAGCAAUCAGCUGGUGACAAGUUUAUAUGAGGCUUUUCUGGUGACCCAUGCUCCUUAUGGGCACAGAAUCUGAAAGCUAGAGUUUCACAAUAGAGGCCAGGGGGCCAAGGGUGAGUCUUUAACUUGAGAUUGAGGGUCUGCUACUGUUAGGAGAUUGGCUGGCUGUCCUUCCUACAUAAUACCAAAACCCCAUCUUUUUUUCCUUUGCUUUAACCCCAGCCUGCCUCAGAACCAAAAUAAACUAGAAACCUGGUUCUAAUUCUUGGGGCUCUGCUGAUGCUGUCCCCCUUUGUUCCUGCAGCGUGGACCCGGUCAGCAGCCAAGCCAUGGAGCUCUCUGAUGUCACCCUCAUUGAGGGUGUGGGUAACGAGGUGAUGGUGGUGGCAGGUGUGGUGGU
rnacentral:lncRNA from 1 species